rnacentral:rRNA from 1 species
UACGUAGGGCGCAAGCGUUGUCCGGAAUUAUUGGGCGUAAAGAGCUCGUAGGCGGCUUGUCACGUCGGGUGUGAAAGCCCGGGGCUUAACCCCGGGUCUGCAUUCGAUACGGGCUGGCUAGAGUGAUGGUAGGGGAGAUCGGAAUUCCUGGUGUAGCGGUGAAAUGCGCAGAUAUCAGGAGGAACACCGGUGGCGAAGGCGGAUCUCGUGGGCCGAUUACUGACGCUGAGGAGCGAAAGCGUGGGGAGCGAACAGG